GAGCCUGAGAAACGGCUACCACAUCCAAGGAUGGCAGCAGGCGCGCAAAUUACCCAAUCCCGACACGGGGAGGUAGUGGCAAUAAAUAACAAUACGGGGUUCUUUCGGAUCUCGUAAUUGGAAUGAGUACAAUUUAAAUCUCUUAACGAGGAACAAUUGGAGGGCAAGUCUGGUGCCAGCAGCCGCGGUAAUUCCAGCUCCAAUAGCGUAUAUUAAAGUUGUUGCAGUUAAAAAGCUCGUAGUUGAAUUUCGGGGUUAGUAGGUUGGUCAUGCCUCUGGUAUGUACUGAUCUCACUGAUUCCUCCUUCCUGAUGAACCGUAAUGCCAUUAAUUUGGUGUUGCGGGGAAUUUGGACUGUUACUUUGAAAAAAUUAGAGUGUUUAAAGCAAGCUAACGCUUGAAUACAUUAGCAUGGAAUAAUGAAAUAGGACGUUCGAUCCUAUUUUGUUGGUUUCUAGGAUUGACGUAAUGAUUAAUAGGGAUAGUUGGGGGCAUUAGUAUUCAAUUGUCAGAGGUGAAAUUCUUGGAUUUAUUGAAGACUAACUACUGCGAAAGCAUUUGCCAAGGAUGUUUUCAUUAAUCAAGAACGAAAGUUAGGGGAUCGAAGACGAUCAGAUACCGUCGUAGUCUUAACCAUAAACUAUGCCGACUAGGGAUCGGAUGAUGUUAAUUUUUUAAUGACUCAUUCGGCGCCUUACG
rnacentral:rRNA from 1 species